UGGGGAAUUUUGCACAAUGGGGGAAACCCUGAUGCAGCGACGCCGCGUGAUUUAGAAGGCCCUCGGGUUGUAAAAAUCUUUUCUAUGGGAAGAAAAUGACAGUACCAUAGGAAUAAGGACCGGCUAAUCACGUGCCAGCAGCCGCGGUAAUACGUAAGGUCCGAGCGUUGUCCGGAAUCAUUGGGCGUAAAGGGUACGUAGGCGGGUAAGCAAGUUAGAAGUGAAAUCCUAUAGCUCAACUAUAGUAAGCUUUUAAAACUGCUCAUCUUGAGGUAUGGAAGGGAAAGUGGAAUUCCUAGUGUAGCGGUGAAAUGCGCAGAUAUUAGGAGGAAUACCGGUGGCGAAGGCGACUUUCUGGCCAUAACCUGACGCUGAGGUACGAAAGCGUGGGUAGCAAACAGG
rnacentral:rRNA from 1 species